AGUGAACGCUGGCGGCGUGCUUAACACAUGCAAGUCGAACGGAUCAAAGUAGCCUGCUAUUUUGGUUAGUGGCGCACGGGUGAGUAAUGUAUAGCUAACCUGCCCUUUAGUGGGGGACAACAGUUGGAAACGACUGCUAAUACCCCAUACUCCUUCUUGCCAUAAGGUGAGUUGGGAAAGAUUUAUUGCUAAAGGAUGGGGCUUUAUUGUAUCAGCUAGUUGGUGAGGUAAUGGCUCACCACGGCUAUGACGCAUACCUGGUCUGAGAGGAUGAUCAGGCACACUGGAACUGAGACACGGUCCAGACUCCUACGGGAGGCAGCAGUGGUGAAUAUUGCACAAUGGAGGAAACUCUGAUGCAGCAACGCCGCGUGGAGGAUGACGCAUUACGGUGUUGAAACUCCUUUUAUAAGGGAAGUUAAUGACGGUACCUUAUGAAUAAGCACCGGCUAACUCCGUGCCAGCCGCCGCGGUAA
rnacentral:rRNA from 1 species